rnacentral:rRNA from 1 species
GUGUCAGCAGCCGCGGUAAAACGUAGGACGCAAGCGUUAUCCGGAGUUACUGGGCGUAAAGCGCGGGCAGGCGGCUGGUCAAGUGGGAUGUGAAAGCGCUCAGCUUAACUGGGCGAGGCCAUUCCAAACUGACGGGCUGGAGGGCAGUAGAGGUAGGCGGAAUUCCGGGUGGAGUGGUGAAAUGCGUAGAGAUCCGGAGGAACACCAGAGGCGAAGGCGGCCUACUGGGCUGCACCUGACGCUGAGCCGCGAAAGCCAGGGGAGCGAACGGGAUUAGAAACCCCCGUAGUCC